AUGGACGUGCUCAGUUCCACUCUCCUGCUGCUGACGGUGCCAACCUGGGUCCUGGCCCAGGUUGUCCUGAAGGAGUCAGGUCCUGGGCUGGUGAAGCCCGGGGAGACCCUCUCGCUGACCUGCACUGUCUCGGGAUUCUCUCUGAGCACUUCGGGUAUAGGAGUGGGCUGGAUCCGCCAGCCCCCCGGGAAGCCCUUGGAGUGGCUCUCACAAAUUGAUUGGGAGGACGAUAAGUAUUACAACCCGUCCCUGAAGAGCCGACUCGCCAUCUCCAAGGACAACUCCAAAAACCAGGUGUUCCUGAAGAUGAGCAGCAUGGACCCUGCAGACUCAGCCACGUAUUACUGUGCUCGGAGUAGCCACGGCACCGCCU